rnacentral:lncRNA from 10 species
CAUUUUGUACUGCUAGUGCCUAGACGCUAAGUAGGGUGUUGAUAGUGGUGGACCCUCAUAUUUAAAGGAGGGUCUUCAGUCUAGCUGGUACCUGUACCUCUAAAAAGGAAGUCUGGCCAUACCCUGGAUGUCUGAGCUGGCAGCACAACCCAGUGGAUAUUCCAGUCACUCAUGGGGCAGGGAUUGUGCCCCACAGACGCUCGAAUGGUCCAGAAGCACUGGCUCAGGGUGAGAAAAAAAGCAUAGCCCACCUGGCUGUACAACUGCAAAGGGGAUAUGGUCCAGCUCCUGUGGACAUCACUGAACAGGCACAGCAUGGCAGGUGCUGGGAGCAGUCACACAGUGGGCAGCUAGAACCUUCUCCCUGCUGCUAUGAGAGCAACACUGAUUGGAACUGGACACUGUGGGGAGAAAAAAGCCUUUUUUGUCCACUUCCUACCUAGCCAAUCUCCCCUGAAUGCUUCCUAUUGACAGAACCUAAAAGGAAGUCAGUUGGUGAGGGGACUAAGAAGUGGAGUUUGGAGAUCUUCAGCUCCAAAUGGAGCUGAGAGACCAGAGGGCAGAAGAUGAAGAGCCAGAAAACCUGGAUCCUGGCCCCAACCCAGCACUGACUGGGCUUACUUUGAUGGUCUGGAUAUACAGGCAUGUCAUCUGAAAUGAAGACAUUGUUGUCUCUUCUGCCUACAGAACCACAGGGUCAGCUGUGCCCCUUCCCCUUUCAGUAUAUUCCCAUAUUACAAUUUCUCCUGGAUAAAACCAGAGAAUGAGUCUCUAAACAAAGUAGGCAGAGAGCUGAAAAGAAGAGGCUUCAAGGAAGGAGAUUCCCAGCAUAGGCAAUUGGUUACAGAGUGAAGGAAAGUAGAGAAUAGGCAGAAAAAAAGGAUUCCAGGAUGGCUGAAACAACAUCUUUAAAGACUGAAAAAGAAAAAAAAAACUAUCACCAUCAAUUUCUAUAUCUAGCUCAACUAUCCUUCCAGAAUGAAAGCAAAAUAAGGACACUUUCAGACAAAAAAAAGAGAAAGAAGAUUUGUUUUCAGCAGACCUAGACUACAAUAAAUGCUAAAUAGAGAAAGUUCUUCAGGAUAAAGGCAAAUUAUAACAGAUGGAAAUCUGGAUCUUCAGAAAACAAAGAAGAGCACAGGAAAUGACUGAAGCAUAUCAGCCCCAGCCUACCUACAUAUCCGCGAGUCCGGUUACUGAUGUUACCAAACACAAAGUCCACUCCUGAAGCCCACUGGGAUGUAAAAUCCAUGACUACAGAGAUUUUGUGGGUCUUGUUCAUCAACAGUGGAUUGGAUAAAUAAAAUGUGGUACAUAUACACCAUGGAGUACUAUGCAGCCAGAAGUAAGAAUGGAAUCAUGUUUUCUGUAGCAACUGGAGCUGGAAGCCAUCCUCCUAAGUCAAUUAAUGCAGAAACAGAAAAAUCAAAUACUGUGGGUUCUCACUUAUAAGUGGGAGCAAAACAAUGGAGACACAUGGACAUAAAGGUGAAAACAAUAGACGCUGGGGCCUCCAAAAGAGAGAAAGGAGAGAGGAGAGGAAAGGUUGAAAUAUGACCUGUGGGGUACCAUGUUCACUAUUCAGGUGAUGGGUUCGAUAGAAGCCCAAACUCCAGCAUCUUGAAAUAUAUCCAUGUAACAAACCUGCAAUGUACUCCUGAAACUAAAAUUAAAAAAAAAA